rnacentral:rRNA from 1 species
GAUGAACGCUGGCGGCGUGCUUAACACAUGCAAGUCGAACGGAAAGGCCAGUGCUUGCACUGGUGCUCGAGUGGCGAACGGGUGAGUAACACGUGGGUGAUCUGCCCUGCACUUUGGGAUAAGCCUGGGAAACUGGGUCUAAUACCAGAUAGGACCAUGCUUUGGAUGGUGUGGUGGAAAGUUUUUUCGGGGUGGGAUGAGCUUGCGGCCUAUCAGCUUGUUGGUGGGGUAAUGGCCUACCAAGGCGUCGACGGGUAGCCGGCCUGAGAGGGUGUACGGCCACAUUGGGACUGAGAGACGGCCCAGACUCCUACGGGAGGCAGCAGUGGGGAAGAUUGCACAAUGGGCGCAAGCCUGAUGCAGCGACGCCGCGUGGGGGAUGACGGCCUUCGGGUUGUAAACUCCUUUCGCAACUGACGAAGCUUUUUGUGACGGUAGGUUGAGAAGAAGCACCGGCUAACUACGUG